CCUACGGGUGGCAGCAGUGGGGAAUAUUGCACAAUGGGGGAAACCCUGAUGCAGCGACGCCGCGUGAAUGAAGACUUCCUUCGUUAUGUCAAACUCUCUCAGCAUGGGAGAAAAUGACGGUACCUAAGUAAUAAGCCCCGUCUAACUACGUGCCAGCAGCCGCGGUAAUACGUAGGGAGCUAGCGUUAUCCGGAUUUACUGGGUGUAAAGGGAGCGUAUACGGCAGUGCAAGUCUGGAGUGAAAGUCGGGGGCUCAACCCCCGGACUGCUCUGGAAACUGUACGGCUGGAGUGCAGGAGAGGUAAGUGGAAUUCCUAGUGUAGCGGUGAAAUGCGUAGAUAUUAGGAGGAACACCAGUGGCGAAGGCGGCUUACUGGACUGUAACUGACGUUGAGGCUCGAAAGUGUGGGGAGCAAACAGGAUUAGAUACCCGUGUAGUC
rnacentral:rRNA from 1 species